CAGCACCUCAAGUGGUCAGGAUGAUUAUUGGGCCUAAAGCAUCCGUAGCCGGCGCUGUAAGUUUUCGGUUAAAUCUGUACGCUUAACGUACAGGCUGCCGGGAAUACUGCAGAGCUAGGGAGUGGGAGAGGUAGACGGUACUCGGUAGGAAGGGGUAAAAUCCUUUGAUCUAUUGAUGACCACCUGUGGCGAAGGCGGUCUACCAGAACACGUCCGACGGUGAGGGAUGAAAGCUGGGGGAGCAAACCGGAUUAGAUACCCGAGUAGUCC
rnacentral:rRNA from 1 species